GCACUGCUGAGGAGACCAAAACAGAUCGAAGCAGCUGCCCAGCGC
rnacentral:hammerhead_ribozyme from 1 species